rnacentral:rRNA from 1 species
AUUGAACGCUGGCGGCAGGCUUAACACAUGCAAGUCGAGCGGAGAUGAGGUGCUUGCACCUUAUCUUAGCGGCGGACGGGUGAGUAAUGCUUAGGAAUCUGCCUAUUAGUGGGGGACAACAUUCCGAAAGGAAUGCUAAUACCGCAUACGCCCUACGGGGGAAAGCAGGGGAUCUUCGGACCUUGCGCUAAUAGAUGAGCCUAAGUCGGAUUAGCUAGUUGGUGGGGUAAAGGCCUACCAAGGCGACGAUCUGUAGCGGGUCUGAGAGGAUGGUCACCCACAUCGGGACUGAGACCCGGCCCAGACUCCUACGUGAGGGAGCAGUGGGGAAUUUUGGACAAUGGGCGGAAGCCUGAUCCAGCCAUGCCGGGUGUGUGAAGAAGGCCUUUUGGUUGUAAAGCACUUUAAGCGAGGAGGAGGCUACCUGGAUUAAUACUCUAGGAUAGUGGACGUUACUCGCAGAAUAAGCACCGGCUAGCUCUGUGCCAGCAGCCGCCGUAACAC